rnacentral:lncRNA from 1 species
GCUCGCUCUACCUAUGAUGGGUGAUUCCAAACCUGGACAUUCUUUAUUUAUUGUGUUCUCCAAUUUCUAAUAAGAGCACUAAAGGAUUCAACAUUUAUUAGCAAAUAAUGAACUUCAUGUUCUAUAGGUCUACCUUCUAUAUAUGCUUCUCUCCAUAUAACAUUCUGUCUCAUGUUCUGGUGAUUUCUCUCACUGGCCAUAUUCCUUUCUUCUUGUAAUAACUAGUUCUUGGUCAUGUUGAGCAUCAUAUGCCUAGGCCAUAGAAAAUUGGCGUUAAAGAAACAGCUAAUCACACACUGCAAACAGUCUAAACACAGUCCCAACAUUUUCUAAUAUUUGUAGGGAGAUUACCAUAGGAUUAGGAUGCAUGGGAGACAAUUGAUUAGCCAGAAGGCAAAUACCACUAAUUCUUGGCAUUACUUUCGACCUUUUAAACGUGAUCAUCGUGAAUCUCGGUGGUCUUCACCUCACGGAUUUUGUUGCAGGAUGAGUUGAUCCUCAUUGUUAAUGAUACGGGCACAGCAAACGUUGUUGUUAGAAUCCCUGAACUGGGAGCAGUGAUUGUGAUCUGCAAGAGAGAAGGUACUGUACAGGAAAAUUAAAACAAAAGGUUCAAUCUGUCAUCUUCCAUGGUAUCAUACGCAAAUUUCUUCCUUCUAUCACUGUUGGUAUAUUUAGAUUUAAGAAUGAGGCAUGCAGCUCAUGUAUGCAUCAACCAAGAACUCUGAAUCUUGUUCAAUGUCACUUCCCUGUCAGAGAUUG